rnacentral:tRNA from 2 species
GCGGGUGUAACUCAGUGGUAGAGUGUUUGCUUGCCAUGCAAAACGUCGCGCGUUCGAAUCGCGUCACCCGCU